UUACCAUUACCAUUACCAUUAUCUAGGAUUAGGUAAAGCUCCUCCUGCUUUAGCUAGGUCGUAUUCUACUCCCCCAGCUAGUCCCUACACUUCUAACUAUGCUUCUGUUUGAUCUCAAGGUUACAAAAAAGAAAACAAUGUCCUCUUCACCAAGUCAUUCCAGGGCCCAAGAAUACAUCUUGUUAAACACGAGCAAGUUCAGGGUCCGCAUUUAUAUAAGUGUAAGGAAAGUGUUGAAAACUCUUCUGAAGAGAAUUCUCUUGAAGUAGACAAAAAUAAAACUACUAUAUCAGAAACACAGUUCUUUGAUAGUACUUAUACCACCUGGAGCAGUACUAAUCCCUGUACUCGGAGCUGCACUAGACCUGAAACCAUAAGCAGUACUAAUCCUUGUACUCGGAGCUGCACUGAACCUGAUACAAUGAGUAGUACUAAUCCCUUUACUCGAAGCUGCACUAGACCUGAAACUAUGAACAGUACUAAUCCCUGUACUCGGAGCUGCACUAAACCUGAAACCAUGAACAGUACUAAUCCCUGUACUCAGAGCUGCCCUAAACCUGAAACCAUGAACAGUACUAAUCCCUAUACUCGGAGCUGCGCUAAACCUGAUACAAUGAGUAGUACUAAUCCCUGUACUCGGAGCUGCACUAAACCUGAAACCAUGAACAGUACUAAUCCCUGUACUCGGAGCUGCACUAAACCUGAAACCAUGAACAGUACUAAUUCUUGUACUCGGAGCUGCACUAAACCUGAAACCAUGAACAGUACUGAUCCCUGUACUCGGAGCUGCACUAUACCUGUUACCAUGAACAGUACUAAUCCCUGUACUCGGAGCUACACUGAACCUGAUACAAUGAGUAGUACUAAUCCCUGUACUCGGAGCUGCACUAAACCUGAAACCAU